AUUGAACGCUGGCGGUAGGCCUAACUCAUGCAAGUCGAACGAGCGGCGGACGGGCGAGUAAUGUCUGGGAAACUGCCUGAUGGAGGGGGAUAACUACUGGAAACGGUAGCUAAUACCGCAUACCAUCGGAUGUGCCCAGAUGGGAUUAGCUAGUAGGUGGGGUAAAGGCUCACCUAGGCGUCUAUACCUAGCUGGUCUGAGAGGAUGACCAGCAACACAGGAACUGUGACACGGACCAGACUCCGACGGGAGGCAGCAGUGGGGAAUAUUACACUAUGGGCGAAACCCUGAUGCAGCAAUGCCGCGUGUAUGAAGAAGGCCUUCAGGUUGUAAAGUACUUUCAGCAGGGAGGCGUUACCCGCAGAAGAGGCACCGGCUAACUCCGUGCCAGCAGCCGCGGUAAUUC
rnacentral:rRNA from 1 species